GCACAAGCGGUGGAGCAUGUGGUUUAAUUCGACGCAACGCGCAGAACCUUACCAGCCCUUGACAUGUCCGGGACCGGUCGCAGAGAUGUGACCUUCUCUUCGGAGCCCGGAACACAGGUGCUGCAUGGCUGUCGUCAGCUCGUGUCGUGAGAUGUUGGGUUAAGUCCCGCAACGAGCGCAACCCCCGUCCUUAGUUGCUACCAUUUAGUUGAGCACUCUAAGGAGACUGCCGGUGAUAAGCCGCGAGGAAGGUGGGGAUGACGUCAAGUCCUCAUGGCCCUUACGGGCUGGGCUACACACGUGCUACAAUGGCGGUGACAAUGGGAUGCUAAGGGGCGACCCUUCGCAAAUCUCAAAAAGCCGUCUCAGUUCGGAUUGGGCUCUGCAACUCGAGCCCAUGAAGUUGGAAUCGCUAGUAAUCGUGGAUCAGCACGCCACGGUGAAUACGUUCCCGGGC
rnacentral:rRNA from 1 species